GUCGCUAUGGUCUGGGAGGGCAAGAGCGUCGUCUCCACUGGACGCAAGAUCAUUGGCGCCACCAACCCCCUGGCCUCUGAGCCCGGCACCAUCCGUGGUGACUUCGCCGUCGACAUCGGCAGGUGAGAUUUUACCCUGAAGUUGUCAGUGAGAAAGUAGUUAUUAAGUUGAAUAGUGUAUAGCUUAUCCUGAUUGCGUGUUACCGUGCCUUUAAUAUUCAUUUCAAAAAUCCGCAUACUUGAAUGUGUAGUGUAGAUACUAUGCUCAUGUAGUUAAUUAGAAGAUAAGAUUGUGUUGCAGACUACUUAUUCGGCUCAGUCAAAUCAAAUAUUUGAUGUCGUCUGAGUUAUUUAGCCUGUUGAGGCUUAGUGGAAACUAAGGCAACUAAGUCUAAAUCGUCUAAAAGAGGAAACACCUUGUGCUUUUUACAUGAAUUGUUCAGUUCAUAAAAUCUUGUUUGCGUUAUUUGUUGAUUUAUUCAGACUCUAGUCGUUUCAUUGUAGGACAGAACUUAUGGCUCAUGGUUUUUGUAUGUGUGCACUUCAGUCAUUCAUGUAUGAUUUGGAGUAGAGGAUUGGCUUGUGAUGAUUCAGGUCCGAAAGGAUCUUAGCGGAUUUCGGUGAGGCAGAUUUGUCUGUCAUUGAUCGAUUCAUGUUGUUACACACACUGAAGCCUUUCUGUAAUCUAUUUCAUUGAUUUUGUCUUGGUUUUCAUUCAUUUUUUCUGCGAUGCGAUGAUGAUUCAUAUAGGUUUUUGGCAGUAGUGGCAUCCGUCACUGUGAGCCUUCAAACCAAAAACGACUUCUCUUUCCACUGAGCAUUGCUUUAUUCCACUUGGUCCUCCCGGUUACAUAUUGUGAGAUGGUUUUUGCUUUUAUGUCUUUAUAUAAUGCAUCUUGUCUUGUUGAAGAGCUCUAGACCAUAGGAAGUGCCGUAUGACACUGUAAACAGCAGCUGUUUCUCUGCUGCUGUAAGUGUCCAUCCUCAUAUCAUAACCUUUGUGGUUUUGUCUGGGAUGGAAUUACCCAUUUGCACCGGCUUGAUUCAGCUGUGUGCUUGAUUUUAAACGGGUCUCUGAGGGAUUUCUGCAAUGCUUUCUAGUCUUCUUUCUCUUAACUAGAUUAUAUUGUCAAUAUUUUCUUGAUUUUGCUUGGGCCCGAUGCCACGUCUCCAUUAGCGACAAGCCUUGACUGGAGAUGCUACAUUGUGCCGAGAGAGAGUUCUUGGACUUCUCACAUUUGAUAGGAACCUGUGGCUGUGAUUCAGUCGGUGCACAGAGCCGUUUUUUUGUGAUUACACUUCUUGACUGCAUAGCCAUAAAAUAUAUUUCUUGUAGUUGUUUUUGAAAUUUGGGGAAUUCAAAUGGUGAUGAUGAUAGAACUAAGGCUUGUUUCUCAAAACAUUCGCAGUUGCCGCCUAAGAGCUUUCGCCCUGCCAGGCUUGAGAGCUAAUGCUGCCAAUUCCUUCCUUGGAUGUCUGAGCCAUGUUGAUUUUCUUUGUUCUUAAUCUUCUCUUUUGAUAUCAGAAAAAUAUUACUCCCUCCGUUCACUUUUGUAAGUCGUUUCAGACAACACAAAAUAGGUUGUUUUGCACAUUGUCUGAAAUGUCUUCAAGGUCUUAUAAAAAUGAACGGAGGGAGUACAAUGUUGUAGGCCAUGAGUGCACUUGAACCUGCUGUGUAUUGAUGGCCUGUUUAACACUAGUGUCUCCCUUCGUAUCACUAUGUAUUGUGCUAUCUGGUUGCAUUCUAAAAUUUUUAUCUGCAUCAUCCAGGAACGUCAUCCAUGGAAGCGACUCAGUUGAGAGUGCCAGGAAGGAGAUCGCCCUGUGGUUCCCUGAGGGCAUUGCCGAGUGGAGGAGCAGCCAGCACAACUGGAUCUACGAGGCCUAAGAUGUGUCAUGAGUGGUUGAGUGCAGGUUUCGCAAAGCAUCUACCAAACUAGUCUUUGGUUGUUUACAGUUUUGAGAUUUGUAUCUCGGGAACCUUGUUUGUGUGAACUGAAGUUAUCUCCUUGUGCUUGAGCAUGCAAGCGGUAUCUGCUGCUCUAUAUUUACUAUAUGGUAUUGAGUUGCAUUUCAUGUUUUGGUUGUGGCUUUGCCAUGAUAUUUACAGCAAAUUGGUGUGCUUAAUUUUGUUGAUGCACACUCAAUGUUAUAGAAGUGUGUUAGCGAAAACUAUUAACAUCGUUAACAGCAUUGGCAUUGUAGAUGUUAAAGGCAAUAUGUAAAGACAUGACUCUGGGGAACUCC
rnacentral:lncRNA from 1 species